GCUCUGACGCGGGCAAGAUGGCGGCGCCCGGCCGGCUUCUACUCGCCUGACAGUUCCGGGCGUCUCUAACUUCCCUCGGCAUGUUCCUUCUCCGAGACUGUGGCCGCUGGGCCGCAGCGUCCCUCGGUAGACGGCUGCCUUUGCGUCGCCUCUGCAGCGACAGUGCGGCUCCCUGCAGCCCGCACUUCGACGUGGUAGUUAUCGGAGGAGGGCACGCGGGGACCGAGGCCGCCGCCGCCGCGGCUCGCUGUGGCUCGCGGACUCUGCUGCUCACACACCGGGUGGACACGAUCGGUCAGAUGUCCUGUAAUCCUUCCUUUGGUGGCAUCGGAAAGGGGCAUUUGAUGAGAGAAGUAGAUGCCUUGGAUGGCUUGUGUUCUCGGGUCUGUGACCAGUCUGGUAUACAUUACAAAGUACUAAACCGGCGUAAGGGCCCUGCUGUGUGGGGACUGAGAGCACAAAUUGACCGGAAACUUUACAAACAGAACAUGCAGAAAGAAAUCCUGAGUAUGCCCCUGCUCACUGUCCAGGAGGGAGCUGUGGAAGAUCUAGUUCUUGCAGACCCAGAGCCUGGAUAUCCUGGGAAGUCCAGGGUCAGAGGUGUUGUCCUGGCAGAUGGAAGUACAAUUUAUGCAGAGAGUGUAAUUCUGACUACUGGGACGUUUCUGAGAGGCAUGAUCAUAAUUGGACUGGAGAUGCAUCCUGCAGGGCGUUUGGGGGAUCAGCCCUCCGUAGGGUUGGCUCAGACUCUGGAGAGGUUGGGGUUUAUGGUAGGAAGACUGAAGACUGGAACUCCACCCCGACUUGCUAAAGAGUCCAUUAAUUUCGACAUUCUCAACAAGCACACACCAGAUAAUCCGUCCAUACCAUUCAGCUUUCUCAGUGACAGUGUGUGGCUCAAGCCGGAGGACCAGCUGCCCUGCUACUUGACUCACACCAACCCCAGAGUGGAUGAGAUUGUCCUGGAGAACCUUCACCUGAACAGCCAUGUUAAGGAGACUACAAGAGGACCCCGAUACUGUCCCUCUAUUGAAUCAAAGGUUUUACGUUUUCCAAACCGUCUACAUCAGGUCUGGUUGGAGCCUGAAGGAAUGGAUUCUGAUCUCAUCUACCCACAAGGGUUAUCUGUUACUCUACCAGCUGAGUUACAGGAGAAAAUGAUAACAUGCAUCAGAGGCUUGGAAAGAGCGAAACUGGUUCAUCCAGGCUAUGGUGUUCAGUAUGAUUAUUUAGAUCCUCGUCAGAUCAGUCCUUCCCUUGAGACACAUCUGGUUCAGCGGCUGUUCUUUGCUGGACAGAUAAAUGGGACCACUGGCUAUGAGGAAGCUGCAGCUCAGGGGGUGAUAGCUGGAAUCAAUGCCAGUCUAAGAGUCAGUCGAAAACCACCGUUUGUUGUGAGUCGAACAGAAGGCUAUAUAGGAGUCUUGAUUGAUGACCUCACCACCCUGGGCACCAGCGAACCGUACCGAAUGUUCACUAGCAGAGUGGAGUUCCGUUUGUCACUGCGCCCAGAUAAUGCAGAUGCCCGGCUCACAUUCCGAGCCCAUAAGGAAGCUGGCUGUGUGUCCUCACAGCGAUAUGAAAGAGCUUUGUGGAUGAAGUCAUCUUUAGAAGAAGGUAUUUCUGUGUUGAAAUCCAUUAAGUUCUCAAGCUCCAAGUGGAAAAAGUUAAUUCCACAAACUCCUAUAAGUAUUAAUAGAAGCCUUCCUGUCAGUGCGCUGGACAUUCUUAAGUAUGAAGAGGUGGACAUGGAGUCACUAGCCAAUGUGGUUCCUGGGCCCUUGAAGAAGUACACUGCAUGUAGAGAGCUCGCCAGGAGACUGAAAAUAGAAGCCACUUAUGAGUCAGCAUUGUUGUAUCAACUACAAGAAAUAAAGGAGGUCCAGCAAGAUGAAGCCUUGCAACUUCCACAAGAUCUAGACUAUCUAACAAUCAAGGAUGUGUCCUUGUCCCAGGAAGUUCGAGAGAAGCUACACUUGAGUCGCCCACAGACGAUUGGGGCUGCUAGUCGUAUUCCUGGAGUGACGCCAGCUGCUGUCAUCAAUCUGCUCAGAUUCGUGAGGAACUCUCAGCAGAGACAGACAACAGUGAUGGAACACCAGGCCAAUCAGUACUUGAGAUGCAAACAAACUGAAACAAAAGUCUAACUUUCAUUUCAUAGAGGACUUGGAAUGAGGGCGUAGGGCAUCAGUUCUCAACCCUUUAAUACAGUUCCUCAUGUUGUGCUCCCUCUUCCUGGCAGCUGCAGAGAUGUACGGUGUGCCUGCCCUGUUGUUUUUCUCUCAAACUCUAGUAAAAUUGUACUUGAGCUUUAGAAACAGAAAGUACUGAGAGAUGGCUUGCUACAUUUGCUGAGGACCUGAAUUCUACUCUCAGUGCCCACACCAUGCUGCUGCCUGUAACUCCAGCUCGAAGGGUCUGAUGCCCUCUCUGCCCUCCACUAGUCACAAGACACUUUGUGCCUGGCCUCAAGGGAAAUCCUUGAGAACUUGCUCUUUUCCAGCGCCAGGGUCUCAGGUGCUACUAGUUUCUGUGUAGAUGUUGCCAAGUUAAGAACACCACAUUCAGACCGGAGAGAUGGCUCAGCGGUUAAGAGCACUGACUGCGCCGGGUGUUGGUGGUGCAUGCCUGUAAAUCCAGCACUCUGGAAGGCAAAGGCAGGAGGAUUUCUGAGUUCGAGGCCAGCCUGGUCUACAGAGUGAGUUCCAGGACAGCCAGGGCUACACAGAGAAACCCUGUCUCCAAAAAACCAAAAAAAAAAAAAAAAAAAAAAAAAAAAAAAAAAAAAAAGCACUGACUGCUCUUCCAGAGGUCCAGAGUUCAAAUCCCAGCAACCACAUGGUGUCUGUAAUGAGAUCGGAUGUCCUCUUCUGGUGUAUCUGACGACAGCUACAGUGUACUUACAUAUAAUAAAUGAAUCUCAAAAAACAAAAAAAAAA